GGGACGAUAGCUCAGUCGGUAGAGCAAAGGACUGAAAAUCCUUGUGUCGGCGGUUCGAUUCCGCCUCGUCCCACCA
rnacentral:tRNA from 1 species